GACGAACGCUGGCGGCGUGCUUAACACAUGCAAGUCGAACGGAAAGGCCCUGCUUUUGUGGGGUGCUCGAGUGGCGAACGGGCGAGUAACACGUGAGUAACCUGCCCUUGACUUUGGGAUAACUUCAGGAAACUGGGGCUAAUACCGGAUAGGAGCUCCUGCUGCAUGGUGGGGGUUGGAAAGUUUCGGCGGUUGGGGAUGGACCCGCGGCUUAUCAGCUUGUUGGUGGGGUAGUGGCUUACCAAGGCUUUGACGGGUAGCCGGCCUGAGAGGGUGACCGGCCACAUUGGGACUGAGAUACGGCCCAGACUCCUACGGGAGGCAGCAGUGGGGAAUAUUGCACAAUGGGCGGAAGCCUGAUGCAGCAACGCCGCGUGCGGGAUGACGGCCUUCGGGUUGUAAACCGCUUUCGCCUGUGACGAAGCGUGAGUGACGGUAAUGGGUAAAGAAGCACCGGCUAACUACGUG
rnacentral:rRNA from 1 species